rnacentral:rRNA from 1 species
AUGCCCGACGAUACCCUACACCCAGAGGAUCUGAAGAGCCUCGGCAUUGAUGAGUACAACACUGCGAAGCCCAACAACUUGUUGCGGCAGAUUGGACUCUUCCGCAAGCUUGACGACGAUGGCUGGAAGCAGCAGCAGCAGCAUUAUCAUCAUCGUCAAAGCCUCGAAGAAGACCUAGAGGAAGGGGAGAUUCGGUCGUGA